UACGAAGGGGGCGAGCGUUGUUCGGAUUUACUGGGCGUAAAGGGCGCGCAGGCGGUUCUGUUUGUCGAGUGUGAAAGCCCCGGGCUCAACCUGGGAACUGCGCUCGAAACGGCGGAACUAGAGUUCGGGAGAGGAGAGUGGAAUCCCCAGUGUAGAGGUGAAAUUCGUAGAUAUUGGGAAGAACACCGGUGGCGAAGGCGGCACUCUCGAUGACCGAUACUGACGCUGAGGCGCGAAAGCGUGGGGAGCAAACAGG
rnacentral:rRNA from 1 species